ACACAUGCAGUCGAGGGGUAACAGAUCUUCGGAUGCUGACGACCGGCGAACGGGUGAGUAACACGUAUGCAACUUACCCAUAACUCGGGAAUAGCCCAAAGAAAUUUGGAUUAAUACCCAAUAAUACAGGCGUACCGCAUGGUAUUCUUCGUUAAAGAAUAAUCGGUUAUGGAUAGGCAUGCGUUCUAUUAGGUAGUUGGUGAGGUAACGGCUCACCAAGCCGACGAUGGAUAGGGGAACUGAGAGGUUGUCCCCCCACACUGGUACUGAGACACGGACCAGACUCCUACGGGAGGCAGCAGUGAGGAAUAUUGGUCAAUGGACGAAAGUCUGAACCAGCCAAAUCGCGUGAAGGAAGAAGGUAUUAUGUAUCGUAAACUUCUUUUGUAAGAGAGUAAAGUGCACUACGUGUAGUGUAUUGCAAGUACCUUACGAAUAAGCAUCGGCUAAUUCCGUGCCAGCAGCCGCGGUAAUACGGAAGAUGCAAGUGUUAUCCGGAUUUAUUGGGUUUAAAGGGUGCGUAGGUGGUCUAAUAAGUCAGUGGUGAAAUCUCUUUGCUUAACAAGGAAAUUGCCAUUGAAACUGUUAGACUUGAGAAUGGACGAGGUAGGCGGAAUUCGUAGUGUAGCGGUGAAAUGCAUAGAUAUUACGAAGAACUCCAAUAGUGUAGACUGCUUACCAGACCAUAUCUGACACUAAGGCACGAAAGUGUGGGUAUCAAACAGGAUUAGAUACCCUGGUAGUCCACACAGUAAACGAUGAAUACUAACUGUUUGCGAUAUACAGCAAGUGGUCGAGCGAAAGCGUUAAGUAUUCCACCUGGGAAGUAUGCCGGCAACGGUGAAACUCAAAGGAAUUGACGGGGGCCCGCACAAGCGGAGGAACAUGUGGUUUAAUUCGAUAAUACGCGAGGAACCUUACCCGGGCUCGAACGAUAUUUGAAU
rnacentral:rRNA from 1 species